UUGAAACAAAUACGGGCGCAUACGCCCGGUAAUAAUCGCGAUGUACGGAAGGCCCGGCCGUGGCCGUGGCUCGUUUCGUAUAAAUUACGCAAAUUGAUCCGAAAAUAGGUUGAAUCGGUGGCAAAUGAGCCGGAAAUUUCGAGCUUCUCGGGGCGCAAUCAUGCGCGCAGGCACAAAUCCUUGGUUUCCUCUGAAUUUCUGUAGCCGAAAGCCAUACGUCGUCUUAGGGAAAUUCGCGCGCGAGGUACCGCGAGGGUCGACACAAUCUCUCACUCAGACUACCGAGGUCGUUCGCGAAGAAGCAUUUUUCCCGAAGAUCAUUCUGUCAUCUGUGCGAGAUAUUUUUUUUCGAAGCACCCGCUAGAAAAGUCUCUGACGCUGAUAUCCCUGCGCUCCCCUGCGACGGUCUGUCGCGCGACUUUCGCCUCGGCGAAGCGCGCUUGCACUUUUUUGCAUCGAAAACUUGCAAAGCCAUCUAAGUUAUCCGCGUUAUAUGCCGCCACCGUCGCGCUUUCUUAUACGUACUUCCGCCUGACUUCACCCCGGCGACGCUUAUCAACGUCGCGCUCCGCGCGUUUCCCCGACAGAGCGACAACUCGGAACGUAAAGUUAGCGUUGUACGGCUCCGAUGGGACACAACGGGGCCGGGGGUGGAUUCUCCGCCACCCCUUCCGCGCCCCGCGGCUGCCUUAUAACGCUCUCAUCUACUUAACGACGCUUUCGCUCGCCCGCGUCGCGCCAGCUCGCGCGUCACCUGUUUCGGUCAUCAAUCGCGCCCCGCGCACGUUUCUCGCCACACUCGGCCGCGAAUUCGAAGAGGCGUCGGUCGAACGAGAGACGAGACGGCGUCCGGUCCGCCGGUGUUCCAGAUCUUCGGAAAGAGCCCUCCAUCAACGUCGCUGGAAUUCCGCUUCACCGCAUUCGAUUCUUUCGUUUCUUCCGCACGACGACGCUCCGUCGCGUCGAGCUCCGGGGAGAUUUGUCGGUCGGGAUUUCGCCGCCACGUUCCGUUCCGCGAAACUGAUACGAUUUGAUGCCGUCAUUGCACAAAUUGAAGCGGCACGUUAGUCGGUCGCCCUGUUGUGUUACGCUAACGGCGAAACUUUGGGGAACUUUUGGGAACGCCGACGACCGAACCGACGACGUCGGGAUAAUAAGAAAUCGACCGAUUUAUCGCGCGGGAAAGUGCGAUCGAGGGAGGAGAAAGUCCGAAUAGGAGAUGUCCGAUAAUGAAACUCCGCACCGACAUAGAGUUCGCGUCUUAGCGUGCUAAAUGCACUCGAUAUAUCCGAAGUUCUCUUCUUUGCAAAUGCAAUGUUGCUCCGCGCCGCUAGGUAACUUCGCCUCGCUGUGCCUGGCCGAAACGGUGAAUAAUGAAUGAACACGAGAAGGAAAAGCUAUCACGCUCGUCGCUGAGAUGCUGAGAUGCUGAGAUGCGAAGGACCGCAGUAGGACGGGAAAUUACAAUCUUCGUGCUUAGCGUGUUCGCCCGUAUCAGCGCGCGAAUCUGACAAGGACAUCGGGCGAGGACUGAAAAUGGAUCUGUUAUCGCGAAACAAUGGAAGGACUUAAGUCGCGCGUUUAAUGAAUACGUACGCGUCUUGUUAAAAAAGACGAGGCAAGUGGAGAAGAGUGAGAAAGAAAAAGAGAGAGAGAGAGAGAGAGAGAGAGAGAGAGAGAGAAAGGCAACGCGACUAAAUGAAAUGUGCGAUAGAAAGCCGAUCAACCUACGGCGAAGAGCAAAGAAGAUUGAACAAUAGGAAGCUGAUAGGUACGAGGGAGGCUCGAGAAUAGGGGGGGGUAGCCUGCACGUUGGAAACAAAGAUCCGUGCAAAAGAACGGGUAGAGAAGAGCUUGUUGGGUAAAGAAAAUGGACGAUAUUGCCAGGAAGGCAAUUACAGAGGUAUCCUUGGAGGAAAUAAGAAAAGCGAACUAAUACAUACACACACACACACACACACACACACACAGACGCACACACACAUCAAUACAGAAGAGACAGGCGAUAAAGGCGGAGCAAUUACACGCGAUGGUGGAAAAUUUCCAAGUGGCGGAAGCGGCGACGUGUGGAAACGCCGGCGAGAAAGGAAGAUUCGGCGGCGAUGAGAUCGACGUUAAAGGAUAAAUGAACGUAGGAGGAAGUUAGAUAGAUGAACCCGCGGAGCUCGGCAAGCUCGGCGCGAAAACCGCAGGAAAGAGCGACGAAGCUGCGCGAGGCUUAAAUGGAAUGGGAAAGCGCGAGGAGGGGCGAGUCGCGAAGCGGGAGAUGAAUAGCGGAAGAUGCGAGGAGAUGGAUUAAGCGUAGUCUCGAUACCGCUUGGGUCCUUUUAAUUCGCAAGGAGGGCUGAGCGAGGACGAGGGCAUGCGAAGGUUGCGCCGGCCACACGAUCGAAUCUGUGCGAGAAGCGGGCGGGAAGCGGCCGAGGAGGUUCACUUUUGCUUAUCGGCUUCGUGCUAACGAUGGCGGACGAUCGUUCACGGGUGACUAGCUUCGAAACGGUCGGCCGGCCAGCCAGCCUGCUGUUCUAGAGCGCACGUGCUUCGUAGAGAUCGUGUGAUCGCGCGCGCGCGCGCGGCGCGC